rnacentral:rRNA from 1 species
GACGAACCGUGCGAACGUUGUUCGGAAUCACUGGGCUUAAAGGGCGCGUAGGCGGGUCAUCAAGUCCGGGGUGAAAGCCCCCAGCUUAACUGGGGAAGUGCCUUGGAUACUGAUGGUCUCGAGGGGGGUAGGGGCAGUGGGAACUUCCGGUGGAGCGGUGAAAUGCGUUGAUAUCGGAAGGAACGCCGGUGGCGAAAGCGCACUGCUGGACCUCUUCUGACGCUGAGGCGCGAAAGCCAGGGGAGCAAACGGG